rnacentral:lncRNA from 1 species
GCUGACUGCCCUGGGGUCUGAUCUAUGGUGCUGCGCUGGAGAGAACUGUAAGGUCUGCUGUUGAAUGCCUUUGAGAACUUGAUGCAUAAAAUUUGCAUGACUCCUCACUCCUUUCUGAAUCUCUCAUUGGACUCAAGCCAGCAUGGCUCACACCACAAAGGUUAACGGCAGUGCCUCAGAUUCGGGAGAAAUCUGUACACGAAAUGCAGAGAAGAUCCUCCUAAGAGACACAUCACCAUGGGGACAACCUGCCCAAAAUGGCAUGCCAAGUGUUCAUUUCUUUUUUGAGUUAUGUGCCAAAUAGCUGAAUGAGUGAGAAUAGUAAUU